rnacentral:tRNA from 7 species
GGGCUCGUAGCUCAGUUGGGAGAGCGUUCGGUUCGCAUCCGAAAGGUCGAGGGUUCGACUCCCUUCGAGUCCA